UCGAUUCCCUUAGUAGCGGCGAGCGAAACGGGAAGAGCCCAAACCAACAAGCUUGCUUGUUGGGGUUGUAGGACACUCUAUACGGAGUUACAAAGGACGACAUUAGACGAAUCAUCUGGAAAGAUGAAUCAAAGAAGGUAAUAAUCCUGUAGUCGAAAAUGUUGUCUCUCUUGAGUGGAUCCUGAGUACGACGGAGCACGUGAAAUUCCGUCGGAAUCUGGGAGGACCAUCUCCUAAGGCUAAAUACUCUCUAGUGACCGAUAGUGAACCAGUACCGUGAGGGAAAGGUGAAAAGCACCCCGGAAGGGGAGUGAAAUAGAACCUGAAACCGUGUGCUUACAAGUAGUCAGAGCCCGUUAAUGGGUGAUGGCGUGCCUUUUGUAGAAUGAACCGGCGAGUUACGAUUUGAUGCAAGGUUAAGCAGUAAAUGUGGAGCCGUAGCGAAAGCGAGUCUGAAUAGGGCGUUUAGUAUUUGGUCGUAGACCCGAAACCAGGUGAUCUACCCUUGGUCAGGUUGAAGUUCAGGUAACACUGAAUGGAGGACCGAACCGACUUACGUUGAAAAGUGAGCGGAUGAACUGAGGGUAGCGGAGAAAUUCCAAUCGAACCUGGAGAUAGCUGGUUCUCUCCGAAAUAGCUUUAGGGCUAGCCUCAAGUGAUGAUUAUUGGAGGUAGAGCACUGUUUGGACGAGGGGCCCCUCUCGGGUUACCGAAUUCAGACAAACUCCGAAUGCCAAUUAAUUUAACUUGGGAGUCAGAACAUGGGUGAUAAGGUCCGUGUUCGAAAGGGAAACAGCCCAGACCACCAGCUAAGGUCCCAAAAUAUAUGUUAAGUGGAAAAGGAUGUGGCGUUGCCCAGACAACUAGGAUGUUGGCUUAGAAGCAGCCAUCAUUUAAAGAGUGCGUAAUAGCUCACUAGUCGAGUGACACUGCGCCGAAAAUGUACCGGGGCUAAACAUAUUACCGAAGCUGUGGAUUGUCCUUUGGACAAUGGUAGGAGAGCGUUCUAAGGGCGUUGAAGCAUGAUCGUAAGGACAUGUGGAGCGCUUAGAAGUGAGAAUGCCGGUGUGAGUAGCGAAAGACGGGUGAGAAUCCCGUCCACCGAUUGACUAAGGUUUCCAGAGGAAGGCUCGUCCGCUCUGGGUUAGUCGGGUCCUAAGCUGAGGCCGACAGGCGUAGGCGAUGGAUAACAGGUUGAUAUUCCUGUACCACCUAUAAUCGUUUUAAUCGAUGGGGGGACGCAGUAGGAUAGGCGAAGCGUGCGAUUGGAUUGCACGUCUAAGCAGUAAGGCUGAGUAUUAGGCAAAUCCGGUACUCGUUAAGGCUGAGCUGUGAUGGGGAGAAGACAUUGUGUCUUCGAGUCGUUGAUUUCACACUGCCGAGAAAAGCCUCUAGAUAGAAAAUAGGUGCCCGUACCGCAAACCGACACAGGUAGUCAAGAUGAGAAUUCUAAGGUGAGCGAGCGAACUCUCGUUAAGGAACUCGGCAAAAUGACCCCGUAACUUCGGGAGAAGGGGUGCUCUUUAGGGUUAACGCCCAGAAGAGCCGCAGUGAAUAGGCCCAAGCGACUGUUUAUCAAAAACACAGGUCUCUGCUAAACCGUAAGGUGAUGUAUAGGGGCUGACGCCUGCCCGGUGCUGGAAGGUUAAGAGGAGUGGUUAGCUUCUGCGAAGCUACGAAUCGAAGCCCCAGUAAACGGCGGCCGUAACUAUAACGGUCCUAAGGUAGCGAAAUUCCUUGUCGGGUAAGUUCCGACCCGCACGAAAGGCGUAACGAUUUGGGCACUGUCUCAACGAGAGACUCGGUGAAAUCAUAGUACCUGUGAAGAUGCAGGUUACCCGCGACAGGACGGAAAGACCCCGUGGAGCUUUACUGUAGCCUGAUAUUGAAAUUCGGCACAGCUUGUACAGGAUAGGUAGGAGCCUUUGAAACGUGAGCGCUAGCUUACGUGGAGGCGCUGGUGGGAUACUACCCUA
rnacentral:rRNA from 1 species